CCUACGGGAGGCAGCAGUGGGGAAUUUUGGACAAUGGGCGAAAGCCUGAUCCAGCAAUGCCGCGUGAGUGAAGAAGGCCUUCGGGUUGUAAAGCUCUUUUGUCAGGGAAGAAACGGUGAGGGCUAAUAUCCCUUGCUAAUGACGGUACCUGAAGAAUAAGCACCGGCUAACUACGUGCCAGCAGCCGCGGUAAUACGUAGGGUGCAAGCGUUAAUCGGAAUUACUGGGCGUAAAGCGUGCGCAGGCGGUUUUGUAAGUCUGUCGUGAAAUCCCCGGGCUCAACCUGGGAAUUGCGAUGGAGACUGCAAGGCUAGAAUCUGGCAGAGGGGGGUAGAAUUCCACGUGUAGCAGUGAAAUGCGUAGAGAUGUGGAGGAACACCGAUGGCGAAGGCAGCCCCCUGGGUCAAGAUUGACGCUCAUGCACGAAAGCGUGGGGAGCAAACAGGAUUAGAUACCCUGGUAGUCCACGCCCUAAACGAUGUCUACUAGUUGUCGGGUUUUAAUUAACUUGGUAACGCAGCUAACGCGUGAAGUAGACCGCCUGGGGAUACGGUCGCAAGNUUAAAACCNAAAGUGUAGUCGACGNGNGAGACGCGACGACGACGACGACGAGGAGGAGG
rnacentral:rRNA from 1 species